rnacentral:tRNA from 1 species
GCUGGGAUGUCCGAGUUGGUCCAAGGAGCCAGAUUUAAGUAGGGCCUUUGUGCUCGAUGAUUCCUGGUAGGGAAACCUGCGUGGGUUCGAACCCCACUCCCAGCA